rnacentral:rRNA from 1 species
CACCUGUACCCAUGCCGAACACAGAAGUUAAGCUCUCUUGUGCCGAUGGUACUUGGACCGCAGGGUCCCGGGAGAGUAGGUAGUCGCCGAGU